rnacentral:tRNA from 1 species
AGCCUGGUGGCUUAGUGGUUAAGUGCUAUGGCUGCUAACCAAAAGGUCGGCAGUUCAAAUCCUCCAGGCGC